rnacentral:lncRNA from 1 species
GUGGUGCCAUAACUCACUGUCACCACUAACCUCAGAGGCUGUCAGUAUCUGUGGGCAGCAGUGACAUGGGGAAUGGGCCUCUCCUACCGCUGGACAGGUCACAAACUGGAAAGCCCCUUGGGAAGGCAAUCUGAGGAGACCAAGGCAUAGCCAUUCCUGAGUGUGCCUCUAGGUGUGUGCAGACAGGUUUGCAGUUGUGCACAAGGACCACAGGACCACAAGGCCGAGUCUUCCUGCAGGAGGCCGAUGGAGAGGCCAAUGCUCAGUCAGUUUUGUGUUACUAUCACGAAAUAACUGAGGCAGGCUAAAAAAAAAGUUUGACUCUGUUUUGGAGGUUCAAGGGCCGGGCACCAGCAUUAGCUGGGCUCUGGUGAGGAUCUCAUGGUGGAUAGAGUGUGUGGGAGGAAUGACAUCUUGAAAAGGGGAGGUCAGGUGGGAUCAGUCUCAGGGAAACCAGGGGCCCAUAAGAAAUUCCUUAAUCCUUGGAGGGCAGAACCCCAACUUGACCCAAGUACCUCCUGCUUGACCCCAUACCACUUCCAUUACCACCACCCUGGGGACAAUUCCAACCCCUGAUCCUUUGGGAGACACAUUUUAAGCCAUAGCACCCACGUCAGCUCUUGUCAAAUGGAAACUAUCACUUGGUGAAAAACGCUGCAGACGACACAAUAGUCAAUUAUGUGAGUGAAGGUUGAAAGCAGAGGCCACAUCUGCUUGUGGGUCCUGUGUUGGCUGAUGCUCUGAACUGGCUGACUCCCCCCCAAACCCCUUCUACUCCACCCUCCUCCCCGGGACAGAACGCUGACACCUGGCGGCCAGCCUGGCCCGGCCUGCAGAGCUCAGCAUGGCUGCUGUGCCUGAGGGGCCGAGGGCAAGUGAGGCCUGGGCGGUCCGGGUGAGGGCGAGGGUGAGUCUUCCUGAUGGAGGGGAGUGAGCUGUGUCCUCAGGAGCAGCAGACCUGAGGGAAAGGUCUGGGACUGUGGAGGCCAGCCUGCCCUGGCCGAGCCUGCACCAGCACUGCUGCCAGCCUGCUCUGAGGGAAAGGGGAGCCUCCCGUGAGGGGCCAGGUAUCAGCCACACGCAGUGCCGGCCACCUGCACUGGUUCAGUGCUGUGGACCAACCCGACCCUCCAACCCAGACGGUGAGGGUGUGUGGACAUGGGACUUGGGGAGGUAAUG